UACGUAGGGUGCAAGCGUUGUCCGGAAUUAUUGGGCGUAAAGAGCUCGUAGGCGGUUUGUCGCGUCUGCUGUGAAAACUCGGGGCUUAACCCCGGGCCUGCAGUGGGUACGGGCAGACUAGAGUGCGGUAGGGGAGACUGGAAUUCCUGGUGUAGCGGUGAAGUGCGCAGAUAUCAGGAGGAACACCGGUGGCGAAGGCGGGUCUCUGGGCCGUAACUGACGCUGAGGAGCGAAAGCGUGGGGAGCGAACAGG
rnacentral:rRNA from 1 species